UCAAAAAUAGAAAAGGCAUAAAAUGAUAAGGAUCCCAAAAUGAACACACCAUGACACCUGACGUCGUCGCCUGAACCGUACGACGCUCCCAAACGAACGCACCAUGGUUGAGCGGGUUGAGCAAGCUGUCAAAUUUUUUCACUCGCGAUGCAUGUUCGAUCCUGUUUGUGUUGGCCGCAGUUUCAAAAGUUUUAAUCGAAAUGAAAUCGCGUGUGCUUGUGAAAAACCAAACUCCCGGCGUCAAAUCUGCCGGGUGACUGAUCCGGGAGGGAGAAGAGGAUUAGUGUCAGCAACUUUUGCAAAUCAAUCCGGAGUAUCCAGUCGACAAAAGGUACCGGCGGACAGACUGAACACACCACGGCAUCACCCACCCGAGGGGGAACAGGAACCGGUCUCGAUCGAGGGUUUCAAAAGGAAUCGAAAGCGAAAGAAAACGUCGUGGAAGGAUUCCUUUUGGCGAUUUGCAAAAACUGAAGAAGGCGUUAACAAUUCAUGAACAAAUAAACAAAGUGGUUCAAUGUUGAAUAUAAAUAGCAUACUAUGAAUAACAAUAAAACUACUGUAAAAUUUACUUUAUUUACUAUAUAUUUUAAUGUCCGAAAAUAGUUUUCACAGUAGC